rnacentral:rRNA from 1 species
GACGAACGCUGGCGGCGUGCUUAACACAUGCAAGUCGAACGGAAAGGCCUGCUUUUGUGGGGUGCUCGAGUGGCGAACGGGUGAGUAACACGUGAGUAACCUGCCCUUGACUUUGGGAUAACUUCAGGAAACUGGGGCUAAUACCGGAUAGGAGCUCCUGCUGCAUGGUGGGGGUUGGAAAGUUUCGGCGGUUGGGGAUGGACUCGCGGCUUAUCAGCUUGUUGGUGGGGUAGUGGCUUACCAAGGCUUUGACGGGUAGCCGGCCUGAGAGGGUGACCGGCCACAUUGGGACUGAGAUACGGCCCAGACUCCUACGGGAGGCAGCAGUGGGGAAUAUUGCACAAUGGGCGGAAGCCUGAUGCAGCAACGCCGCGUGCGGGAUGACGGCCUUCGGGUUGUAAACCGCUUUCGCCUGUGACGAAGCGUGAGUGACGGUAAUGGGUAAAGAAGCACCGGCUAACUACGGG